GCUAGCUCUGGGCUGGGGGGAGGCGGUGGCGGAGAAGGAGGAGGAGAAGAAGGAGGAGCUGGACCAGCAGGAGGCAGCGGCCGCGACCGGGCUGGGGUGAUGGUGCAGGUGCCCGGGGCCCGCGCGGAGCUGCCCGGCUGAGGGGCGCCUGGUCCCGGGUCCGCAGCGCCGCCGCGUCUUUCCCGGCGGCGGGCGGGCGGGCGGGAAGAUGCUGAGCAGGUUGAUGAGCGGCAGCAGCAGGAGCCUGGAGCGCGAGUACAGCUGCACCGUGCGGCUGCUGGACGACAGCGAGUACACCUGCACCAUCCAGAGAGAUGCCAAGGGCCAGUACCUGUUUGACCUUCUUUGCCACCACCUGAACCUUCUUGAGAAAGACUACUUUGGGAUCCGCUUUGUGGACCCAGACAAGCAGCGGCAUUGGUUGGAGUUUACAAAGUCUGUGGUGAAGCAAUUGAGAUCCCAGCCUCCAUUCACCAUGUGUUUCCGCGUGAAGUUUUACCCCGCAGAUCCUGCUGCCCUGAAAGAAGAGAUAACCAGGUACUUAGUCUUCCUACAGAUCAAAAGGGAUCUCUACCAUGGCCGCCUCCUCUGUAAAACAUCAGAUGCUGCCUUGUUAGCAGCUUACAUCCUUCAAGCGGAAAUUGGGGAUUAUGACCCAGGGAAACACCCUGAAGGCUACAGCUCCAAGUUCCAGUUUUUCCCAAAACAUUCAGAGAAGCUGGAAAGGAAAAUUGCUGAGAUUCACAAGACAGAACUCAGUGGUCAAACACCAGCAACAUCAGAGCUGAACUUUUUAAGAAAAGCACAGACGUUGGAGACAUAUGGAGUGGACCCUCACCCGUGUAAGGAUGUGUCAGGAAAUGCUGCAUUUCUGGCCUUCACUCCUUUCGGGUUCGUUGUUCUGCAAGGAAACAAGAGGGUCCACUUCAUUAAAUGGAAUGAGGUGACCAAGCUGAAAUUUGAAGGAAAGACUUUCUAUUUAUACGUAAGUCAGAAAGAGGAAAAGAAAAUUAUUCUCACAUAUUUUGCUCCAACUCCAGAAGCCUGCAAGCACCUCUGGAAAUGUGGAAUCGAGAACCAAGCCUUCUACAAGCUGGAGAAGUCAAGCCAAGUCCGCACAGUGUCCAGCAGCAAUUUAUUCUUUAAAGGGAGCCGGUUCCGAUACAGUGGCCGAGUUGCAAAGGAAGUAAUGGAGUCAAGUGCGAAGAUCAAACGGGAGCCACCAGAAAUACACAGAGCAGGGAUGGUUCCCAGCCGCAGCUGUCCCUCCAUAACCCAUGGUCCAAGGCUGAGCAGUGUCCCCAGGACCCGCAGAAGAGCUGUUCACAUCUCCAUCAUGGAAGGAGGCACUGUGAACGAGCUGCCAUGGCUUGAGGUCAGCAAAACUCCUUGGUCCCCAGUUGGUUUUCCGUCCUUUCCCUCUGUACCCCCCCCCGCCUGGCUGGUUUCCAUGAAGAGAUCAGCUGGUUUCCACUGAAGAAGUGUCUGCCUGCCUGGGCCACCAUGGGGAAGAGUCUGAUUAAGAUUCACACCAGAGUCCGAGUUCAGCUGCGGUUGACUAAUCACUGCCUUCGGCCAGUGAGUGUGCGCAUCGUGAGGAUGGGGCCCCGGCUCCAGGGUAGGCUCCUGACCAUUCUGCCCCCCCGCCCACAAGAAGCCACCUCUGGGCAAGGCAAUCAGCUGGAGUACAUCCAAGGCCUGGAGUCCCUACGGGACAGUGCCCAUUCCACCCCAGUGCGUUCUUCCUCCCAUGGGGACACCUUCCUGCCUCACGUGAGAAGCAGCCGGGCAGACAGCAACGAGCGAGUCGCUGUGAUUGCAGACGAAGCCUACAGCCCUGCAGACAGUGUGUUGCCCACCCCUGUGGCUGAGCACAGCCUGGAGCUGAUGCUACUUUCCCGGCAGAUCAAUGGGGCCACCUGCAGCAUCGAAGAGGAGAAGGAGUCUGAGGCCAGCACUCCAACUGCUGCAGAGGUGGAGGCUCUUGGGGGAGAGCUGAGGGCCCUGUGUCAGGGGCACGGCAGGCCAGAGGAGGAACAGGUGAAUAAGUUUGUUUUAAGUGUCCUCCGUUUGCUCCUUGUGACCAUGGGACUCCUCUUUGUUUUGCUCCUCCUCCUGAUCAUCCUUACCGAGUCUGACCUUGACAUUGCCUUUUUCCGCGAUAUCCGCCAGACCCCCGAGUUUGAACAAUUCCACUAUCAAUACUUUUGUCCCCUCAGGCGAUGGUUUGCCUGCAAAAUCCGCUCAGUGGUGAGCCUGCUCAUUGACACCUGAGAAGGCAUGACUCCUCCCGAUAACUAGCCAGGUGGACCAAGGAGCCUGGCUGCCCAUUCCCAGCAAUGGGACCCAUCGCGGAACCAUCGGCACAUGUACCAAGUCCUCCUCUCAUGACUCAAAGUCCACAGCCUAGGAGGGUCAUUUCCCAGAAGGAAAAAAGAACAGGCUCAUGCCCUGUCUAAACAAACUGGGAGAACUCAUUUCCUUCAGAGGUUCUUUCAAGAAAGGCUCAGCGACUCUGUUUCUCAUCCUCCCAAUUUGCAGGAUAAUUUUUGGUUUUGAAUUUUGAUUUUUCAUAGAUGUGUAGUAUUUUCAAAGUAUCAAAUAAAAAUUUAUUUUACUAUUACUGAUUAUCGCAGUAGUGUCACCUAGCAGAUGGGACACUAGCUGAAGACUGGAGAGCUGUUGUCUUCUGUAUUCUGCAGGAGCUUUCCUACUGGGCUCCAGGAGACUCAGCAGCGCAGCCUCAGCAGGGCGAGCCAGGGGUCUGGACAAUGGGAACUAUCUAGGUUUUCUUGCCAGACAAGAGAUUUUUAAAAAGUAAACAUCCAUGUAGAAUGAUUAAAUGGAAAGUUGCUUCUUAUGAUGGUCUGAGUUGGAUUUUCUUUUCCUUUUGUUUUUUUCAAAUCUGAGCAGAGUGGGCAUCUGAAGGGACCACCGCUACAGCAGCAGCAGGAGCAGGGGUGGGGUAAGUCUGUCCCCUUAGACUAGAUCCUAGUGGGCAUCACCAUGAGUUUUGUAUAAUGAACUUAUUAGACUUCUGUGAUUUUUUUUUUCCUGAAGAACCUCCAGAUUUUUAUAGUGCUUCAGAGACAUUAGUUGAAUUCAGUGGUGCCAGAGACAGGACUGUCAGAAAUGUUGGACAAAGUGUAGUUAACAGAACCCAGAGCCAAGGUACCUGAGAAACUGUUGAGAUUCGGAGAGCAGUACCUAUUUUGUACAACCCCCCACAAAAAAACUAUUUCAAUUUAUAUUUUAACAACAAAUGUUAUUUUCUUAUCAAUUCAUAUUUUGUUUUUACUUUAUGGAUUAAGAAAAUAGAGCCUGAUGAACUAAACGAUGCAAGAAAGAAAGUGAUCCUGAGAAUGAAAAGCUUCAGAAAAUAGAAUUCCAAGAUCAACAAACAGCCUUGGAAGGGACCAGGAAAAGAAUCUAAAUAGGCAUACUAAAAGAUGCCUACGAAAGAAAGAAGGUGAAUGUGGCAGAGACCAACACUUAGAUGUGGAAAUACUGCCCCCUAGGGUCAUCCUCUGCAUCAGGAAAAGAAAGAUUGUAGGAAAGCAUUUGCCAUGCUUGCUGAGGGAAGCUGUGGAAGCAUGCAAAAGCACAGCAUGUGAAGGGUGAGUGUGGGGUCCAAGGCCCAAGCUCUGCAACUCUUAACCACCACUCAUAAGAUCUUGUUUUCAUCUCAGGGAGAGAUUGCUAAGUCAUCUGGGGCCUGAGGACUCAUUUAAGGAUGGUCAGUAAACAUAUUCCUAGGAACUCCACAACAGUGGAGCCGCUGCUAACAUCCUAUGAUGUUGGGCAGCCCCAAAUGCAGAACAAAAUGAAUCACUUGUAGAUUUGCUCUCCCCUAGUUUGUCCCCUGAAAUAGCAGAAUCAUGUCCAUAUACAGAGUAUAACAGCUGUUGAAUUAACAAGGGGUGUGGGGUGGGGCAGUGGAUUGUGUAAUUUUAAAUGCCCUUUCAUCUAGACCAGGGGUUGGCAAACUUCUUCUGUAAAGUGCCAGAUAAAAAUAUUUUUUAUUUUGGUUUUGUGGGCCAUACUCCAUGGCAACUACUCAACUCUGCAGUGAUAGCACAAAAACAGCCAUCCAUAGGUAAUACAUAAACAAAGGAGCAUGGCUGUGUUCCAAUAAAAGUUUAUUUUAGGAGCUGAAUUUGGACCACAGGCCAUAAUUUGCCAACCCCACCUAGACAAUAAAACUGCUCCUUACCAGUAGUAUGUUAGCAGAAAGACGGCCGGCUCUGCUCCCAUUCCCUACUUGCUAGAGAUCCAGGACCAUUUCCCAGUGGAGACACUGGGGUUGCUUGUAUAAAGGGUGCUUGAACAACCAACCAGCAAAGAGGUAGCUAAUGCCAAGAUGAGCAAGAUUAAGUGUUGAAAUGCUAAAACUCAGCCAGAAUCUAAGAAUGGAAGAGGAAUGUCUGAUCAUUUCCAUACCAGCAACAAUUUGGGCAGAAUUAAAAUCAUCUAUUUACCAAGUGACAAGACAAACUGAGGGAGAUCCUAGUAAAAAUUAGGGAUCACUUAGAACCAACUAGCCACUGCCACUUGUCAUCUACACAGGAAAGGCUUUAGUUACCACAGGACAGAAGUGAAAAGUAGACUCAGAGAUGAAAAGGCUGUCAGGAGAUAGGGGGCUGGUUGUAACCUGGAUAUCUACUGUCUUAUGCAACAUAGCAGAUUAUCUUUUAGUGUAGUGUUCCUACCUCAGUCUGUAGAAUAUGGUGUUUCUAUGCAGUGAGUGAUAGCCUUGACACUGACCUUUCAUAGUCACAUUAAAGAAAGAUGCAGUAUUCCAUUUCCUGGUAUGUUACUUGUGUCUAGAGUUCUAACAAUACAAUAGUCCAUACCACUUCCAAGAGCUGGAUUUUGCUCUCUGAACAGAACUUUUGGGUUAUUUUUUUCCAGGGCUUACCCCAGAAAAUACAGAUAGUAAAGUUUCCUUCUAUUUGCUUUUCAAAUAGUGCUUGAAUAACAAAACUCCUUUGUUGGUAACUAGUCUUUUUUUGGUAUCUCCCCAUCAUUAAACAUCAUUGUUCAAAUUUUUAACCUGGUUUUACUGUGUUCCACUAUGUCUCCCAUUUUCUCUCAGAAUUAGUUUGAUCUCAUUGUAGAAAAAAAAAACAAUGGUUUCCAUAGCUUCAUCCAUCAGAGGAAAUAAAACUCUUACUAAAGGAUAGUGUACUGCAUCUUUAAGCAGUAGAAGGUAAACUACCUGCAAAUGUGAAUUUCUUAGUUUCAUUAAAAAGUAUAAUUGUUAACCUUUCGUGUGCCAAAAAUUCUAAGUUACAUUUUCCUUCAAAGCAAUGUACUUUUUUCUACAUAUGCAGUAUGUAGUUAGCAUAAAAUCAUUGGUGCCAUGAAAAUUAUUUUUUAAAUUAAAUAAAUAUUUAAAUAUCAUGGAAGAGUGGACUCUUUCUUUUUUAACUUACAGCUUGUCUCACUUUUUCCUCCUUAAAGUUACCAACACGUAGAUAAAA